rnacentral:rRNA from 1 species
AGAGUUUGAUCCUGGCUCAGAACGAACGCUGGCGGCGUGGAUGAGGCAUGCAAGUCGAACGGAGUUUAGGAUGUUAGCAAUAACGACUUAAACUUAGUGGCGGAAGGGUGAGUAACACGUGGGUAACUUACCCUCGACUUCGGGACAACUCGGGGAAACCUGAGCUAAUACCGGAUUCGGUCCGGAGAAGGCAUCUUUUCCGGAUCAAAGGUUUACUGGUCGAGGAGAGGCCCGCGCCCUAUUAGCUUGUUGGUGAGGUAACGGCUCACCAAGGCUGUGAUGGGUAGCCGUGCUGAGAGGUUGUUCGGCCACACUGGGACUGAGACGCUGCCCAGACUCCUACGGGAGGCUGCAGUCGAGGAUCUUUGUCAAUGGGCGCAAGCCUGAACAAGCGACGCCGCGUGAGCGAUGAAGGCCUUCGGGUCGUAAAGCUCUUUCAGCAGGGAAGAAUCAAUUGACGGUACCUGCAGAAGAAGCCCCGGCUAAUUACGUGCCAGCAGCCGCGGUAAUACGUAAGGGGCAAGCGUUGUUCGGAUUUACUGGGCGUAAAGGGUGCCUAGGCGGCAUAUUAAGUCGGAGGUGAAAUCCCCCGGUCCAACUGGGGAACUGCUUUCGAAACUGAUGUGCUUGAGUACGGGAGAGGAGAGCGGAAUUCUCGGUGUAGCGGUGGAAUGCGUAGAUAUCGAGAAGAACACUAGUGGCGAAGGCGGCUCUCUGGAACGAUACUGACGCUGAAGCACGAAAGCCAGGGGAGCAAACGGGAUUAGAUACCCCGGUAGUCCUGGCCCUAAACUAUGUACACUUGGUGUAGGAGGUAUCGACCCCUCCUGUGCCGAAGCUAACGCAUUAAGUGUACCGCCUGGGGAGUACAGUCGCAAGUCUGAAACUCAAAGGAAUUGACGGGGGCCCGCACAAGCGGUGGAGCAUGUGGUUCAAUUCGAUGCAACGCGAAGAACCUUACCAGGGCCUGACAUGCAGUUGCUAAUCCCGGGAAACCGGGACUCCUUCGAGGGUACUGCACAGGUGCUGCAUGGCUGUCGUCAGCUCGUGUCGUGAGAUGUUGGGUUAAGUCCCGCAACGAGCGAACCCUUGUUGUUAGUUGCCAGCACGAAAGGUGGGCUCUCUAACAAGACUGCCGGUGUUAAACCGGAGGAAGGUGGGGAUGACGUCAAGUCAGCAUGGCCCUUACGUCCUGGGCGACACACGUGCUACAAUGGCCGGUACAGAGGGUUGCCAAACCGUGAGGUGGAGCCAAUCCCAGAAAGCCGGUCUCAGUUCGGAUUGGGGUCUGCAACUCGACUCCAUGAAGCUGGAAUCGCUAGUAAUGGCGUAUCAGCCACGACGCCGUGAAUACGUUCCCGGGCCUUGUACACACCGCCCGUCACAUCAUGAAAGCCUACUGUACCCGAAGUCGCUGGUCCAGCCCGCAAGGGCGGAAGGUGCCUAAGGUAUGGUCGGUGAUUGGGAUGAAGUCGUAACAAGGUA